ACGGGAGGCAGCAGUGGGGAAUAUUGCACAAUGGGCGGAAGCCUGAUGCAGCGACGCCGCGUGAGGGAUGACGGCCUUCGGGUUGUAAACCUCUUUCAGCAGGGACGAAGCGUAAGUGACGGUACCUGCAGAAGAAGCGCCGGCCAACUACGUGCCAGCAGCCGCGGUAAGACGUAGGGCGCGAGCGUUGUCCGGAUUUAUUGGGCGUAAAGAGCUCGUAGGCGGCUUGUCGCGUCGACUGUGAAAACCCGCGGCUCAACCGCGGGCCUGCAUUCGAUACGGGCAGGCUAGAGUUCGGUAGGGGAGACUGGAAUUCCUGGUGUAGCGGUGAAAUGCGCAGAUAUCAGGAGGAACACCGAUGGCGAAGGCAGGUCUCUGGGCCGAUACUGACGCUGAGGAGCGAAAGCGUGGGGAGCGAACAGGAUUAGAUACCCUGGUA
rnacentral:rRNA from 1 species